GACGAACGCUGGCGGCGUGCUUAACACAUGCAAGUCACGGGGGCUGGUGCAAACCAGUAACCGGCGAACGGGUGCGUAACACGUGAGCGACCUGCCUUAUUGAGGGGGAUAGCCGGCCCAACGGCCGGGUAAUACCGCAUACGCUUGUUUGGGGGCAUCCCUGGACAAGGAAACCUCCGGGGCGAUAAGAGGGGCUCGCGGCCUAUCAGCUAGUUGGUGAGGUAACGGCUCACCAAGGCGAUGACGGGUAGCUGGUCUGAGAGGAUGGCCAGCCACAUUGGGACUGAGAGACGGCCCAGACUCCUACGGGAGGCAGCAGUGGGGAAUCUUGCGCAAUGGCCGGAAGGCUGACGCAGCGACGCCGCGUGGAGGAUGACGCCUCGGUGUAAC
rnacentral:rRNA from 1 species